rnacentral:rRNA from 1 species
ACGUAGGGUGCGAGCGUUGUCCGGAAUUACUGGGCGUAAAGAGCUCGUAGGUGGUUUGUCGCGUUGUUCGUGAAAACUCACAGCUUAACUGUGGGCGUGCGGGCGAUACGGGCAGACUGGAGUACUGCAGGGGAGACUGGAAUUCCUGGUGUAGCGGUGGAAUGCGCAGAUAUCAGGAGGAACACCGGUGGCGAAGGCGGGUCUCUGGGCAGUAACUGACGCUGAGGAGCGAAAGCGUGGGGAGCGAACAGGA